rnacentral:rRNA from 1 species
UUCUGGGAGGAUUGACAGAUUGAGAGCUCUUUCUUGACUCGGUGGAUGUUGGUGCAUGUCCGUUCUAAGUUGGUGGAGCGAUUUGUCUGGUUAAUUCCGACAACGAACAAGACUCUGGACUAUUCAAUAGGUACGUAGUUCUCUGGACCUUGCACCCUUCUUAGAGGGACAAACGGCUCCUAGCCGCACGAAGCAGAGAAAUAACAGGUCUGUGGUGCCCUUAGAU